CGAAACUUUACUACGUGGGAAACCGUGAUAAGGGGACACCGAGUGCCAGCAUCAUAUGCUGGCUGUCCAGGUGUGUAAAAUACACCUGUUAGCAAGGGCCGGGCAAGACCGGUGCCAGCCGCCGCGGUAACACCGGCGGCCCGAGUGGUGAUCGUGAUUAUUGGGUCUAAAGGGUCCGUAGCCGGUUUGGUCAGUCCUCCGGGAAAUCUGACGGCUCAACCGUUAGGCUUUCGGGGGAUACUGCCAGGCUUGGAACCGGGAGAGGUAAGAGGUACUACAGGGGUAGGAGUGAAAUCUUGUAAUCCCUGUGAGACCACCUGUGGCGAAGGCGUCUUACCAGAACGGGUUCGACGGUGAGGGACGAAAGCUGGGGGCACGAACCGGAUUAGAUACCCGGGUAGUCCCAGCCGUAAACGAUGCUCGCUAGGUGUCAGGCAUGGCGCGACCGUGUCUGGUGCCGCAGGGAAGCCGUGAAGCGAGCCACCUGGGAAGUACGGCCGCAAGGCUGAAACUUAAAGGAAUUGGCGGGGGAGCAC
rnacentral:rRNA from 1 species